CACAGCAGCCUCUGUAGGCGGAGAAUCCUUCCCCUGAGAAGGGGGUAACCUGAGGGGAGGGAGAAUUCUCGUUUCCGCCGGUCUCCUCCCUGCAGACCUUUCUCGGAUUGACUCUGCCUCGGAAUAUUCCUCUGCCAGGGAGAGAAGAAACGGAGCUCGCCAUGGGCUCGGGGAGAGGAGCUGCUCUGUGGAGCCUUCUCCUCAGCUUUGCGUUUCUCUUUUCCUGCUGCGAAGCCCAAGUGGUUCAGAGCCCCGAGUCGCUGGAUACUGGGGAAGGGAAGGUCUCCACCAUGUCAUGCUCCUUCACCAGCGCUUUCCAAGCCUUCCAGUGGUACCAGCAGCUGCCUGGGCAAGGGCCGACUCAUCUGCUGACUGCGAGCUCUAAUGAGAAUGCCACUGUGGGGCGGUUCAUAGCCGAGCGCCUGGAAAGUGGGAAACGCAGCUCCCUGCACAUCACCGACUCCCAGCUGGGGGACUCAGGCAGCUACCUCUGUGCGGCGGAGCGGUGGACACGAAGGUUUCUCAGCCUGCUGCGCUGUCUUUCCUGGCAGGGGGCAGGGCUGACUUCCCCUGUAAUCACAGUGUCGCUGCCUAUGACAGAGUUAUUUGGUACUAUCAGAGCCCCAGAGCUGCCCCUCGAGCUGUGAUCUCUGGCUACAAGUCCGUGGAGACGUCGGAGCGGUUUGAACUGUCCAUUGACCCCUCCCGCCGGUCUGCCCCGCUGCGCAUCACCAA